rnacentral:rRNA from 1 species
UGACCGGUGACCGGUCUCCGGUGACGGUUAGAGGAGCGGCUCGAGGUGCGGUACUAGUAGUGGUGGCGGCGGAAGGGCAGGCACAGGAGGAAGGUGGCGGGCGCGGAGUCCGGGACGGGCGCGGCGCGGCAGGAGGUGGAGCAGGCCAGCCGGCGGAGGAGGAGGAGGAGGAGCACCCUCCUCGCGCUCCUUUGCGCCACCGAGGCGCUCCUCGUCGCGACCGACGCCCUCCUCGUCGCCACCGAGGCGCUCCUCAGCGCGACCGCACGGCUCGCGCUCCGGGAGGAGAGGCUCUAGUGCCGCGAGGCAGACGCGGAGGCGCGCGAGCUCGGACGACGGCGCGGGCACGGAGGAGGGCGUGGCCGCCGACGCGCGCAGCGAGGCGGAGGCGGAGGGGGGCGUGGCCAACGCGCGCAACGAGGCGGAGGCGGAGGCGGGCGCGGACGCCGUGCGCACCGCGGUGGAGGCGGCGGGCACGGCCUCGGCCACCUCCUCCAGCUCCACUCCUUCCUCCACCACCACCAGCUCCUCUUCCGGUUCCGCUUCGGCUUUGGCUUCCGACCCCGGCCGUCGCCGUUCUUCGCCCGCGACUCCCAUCCCUCGCUUCCUCUCCUUCACGCCCGCUACGUCCUUCGGAACCUUUUCGAGCCAAAGAUGAGCCCGCUUCUCCUGUGCCUCAAGAGGUCGAAGAGUUGGCCGUGGCUUGCUCGGCAGUUCUGUACCGUCCGUAGCUAUCCAUGAUGUCUCCUACCCGACUACUGUAGCCUCGAUGAGCUCUACGAUAAGUGUCCUGCCUGGCUCCUGCUAGAGUUUUUCCUUCCGCAUUUGCCUCGUGAACAAGGAGGAUAUUGUCUUUGGCGUCUCCAAGUCGUUGGACACCACCUUUUUUAACUGAUGUUGUUUGUGUCUCACAUGGAAGAGCCGCUCUUGGCCACCCUUCUAGGUAGGUCCGAUUGGUUCUUCCUAUUCGGCUAGUCGCCAAGAUGACGGCGCAGCUGUUUCGUCACGUAGUGGACGGCUCCGCUUCCGGCGGAGGACACGGAUCUUACACUACCUUGUCCACUCGGGUUGUAACUUGGUGUCAAGAACCUCACCCAACCGCUUCUGUGUUUCACGGGUAUGACACUUCCGGAACCGAUGUGAUAUACACUACAAACAGUUCCCUAAUUUUGUCACGUGUCAAUUUCGUUUCCUGAAUACUCGUUGUAAGUCGGAAUCAACUUGUAGAUAUCGUCGAAUAUAUCUACAAUUGAUUGAUAAGGUGAAAACAACGCCAUAAAAACUUUAUAUAUUAGUGUAACAGUAGGAUGUGGUGUCUUUUGUCUACGUAUCUCCGAUCCAUUAUGAGGAUGAAUGAUACAUGUUAUCUUCUACCCCUUUUAUUGCUUCCUUCGCCAACGAAACAGUUAGUUCGAACAUUUUAACCGUACGUAAGUUUAUAAAAGUGGUAAGUAUUAUAAAUGUCCUUUUGCAUAAAUAUAGACAGUCACUCAUACACUAGAAGACGUUCUGAUACCACCUGAUACCACCUGACGUCAAAUGUGCCCUUCGUACGUAAUUUGUAUGAUCGACGAUACGAACAUGUCUUCCUACUUGUUACGGACGUUUCAUACUGGUUGUUACUCUUUCGAUGACUCUUGUCUACGACUAAAGGACUACUGUUAAGGUCAUUGUCCUCUAUUUUGUAUGUUGUAUAGCUACCUCAAUUGGUUCUAUAAUGACGAUUUCUUUUUGCGACCGACGAAG